GACGGAGGGAGCAAGCGUUGUUCGGAUUUACUGGGCGUAAAGGGCGUCUAGGCGGGCUGGUCAGUCAGAUGUGAAACCCCCCGGCUCAACCGGGGACCGGCAUUUGAUACUACCAGUCUUGAGUACGGAAGAGGAAAGCGGAAUUCCUGGUGUAGCGGUGAAAUGCGUAGAUAUCAGGAAGAACACCGGUGGCGAAGGCGGCUUUCUGGUCCGAUACUGACGCUGAAGCGCGAAAGUGCGGGGAGCAAAC
rnacentral:rRNA from 1 species